CUAUUAUGAUUGGAUCAGGGACUAGAUCCAAUCCAAGUUUGAUAUAUAAGCCAAUAGCCGACAAAUGAACAUGUACUUAGAUGAAGAUAUGACAUAUGUAGGAAAAAUAUGUUCCAUCAUAUCAAAAGAACAGUGAAAACCACGCCUCCAGUGCAAUAAUCUAUAAAGUCUUAUAUCCGACUGUCAGCAUUUCCAUUGUGUCCGUAUGUACGUGUGUGUAUCCGUAUGUGUUUCCCAAAAACAAAAUAUAUCCACAGCUGUGUUUAACUCCUCAACGCGAAUACGCACAACAACACGGGCAAUCAAAAUCAAAAUGCCAAUGAGCCACAAAACUGUAGAAAAAGCGGAACAACGAAACAAGUGAAGUGUACAAACGAGCUUGCCACUGACGUAGUCUUCUUUGGUAUUUGUGUAUAUAUAAGCCUACCACUGUUCCGUAACUGAUAAAUUAUUGUUUAAUGAUAAUGUUAUUUAAUAAAAAAUUUAACUGGUGA